UACGUAGGGUGCGAGCGUUGUCCGGAAUUAUUGGGCGUAAAGGGCUCGUAGGCGGUUUGUCGCGUCGGGAGUGAAAUCCACUGGCUUAACUGGUGGCUUGCUUUCGAUACGGGCAGACUGGAGGCAUGCAGGGGAGAACGGAAUUCCUGGUGUAGCGGUGAAAUGCGCAGAUAUCAGGAGGAACACCGGUGGCGAAGGCGGUUCUCUGGGCAUGUCCUGACGCUGAGGAGCGAAAGUGUGGGGGAGCGAACAGG
rnacentral:rRNA from 1 species